GGGCCCGCACAAGCAGUGGAGUAUGUGGUUUAAUUCGAAGCAACGCGAAGAACCUUACCAGGUCUUGACAUCGGAUGCAUACCAUAGAGAUAUGGGAAGUCCUUCGGGACAUCCAGACAGGUGGUGCAUGGUCGUCGUCAGCUCGUGUCGUGAGAUGUUGGGUUAAGUCCCGCAACGAGCGCAACCCUUACCGAUAGUUACUACGCAAGAGGACUCUAUCGGGACUGCCGUUGACAAAACGGAGGAAGGUGGGGAUGAUGUCAGAUCAUCAUGCCCUUUAUGACCUGGGCUACACACGUACUACAAUGGCCGUUAACAGAAAGAACCGAUACUGCGAAGUGGAGGAAAACUUUAAAAACGGUACUCAGUUCGGAUCGCAGGCUGCAACCCGCCUGCGUGAAGUCGGAAUUGCUAGUAAUCGCGGAUCAGCAUGCCG
rnacentral:rRNA from 1 species